ACACGUAGGGGCCUGACGUUGUUCGGAAUCAUUGGGCGUAAAGGGCGCGCAGGCGGCCGUCCAAGUCCGGUGUUAAAUGGUCGGGCUCAACCCGAUCAUGCGCUGGAAACUGGGCGGAUGGAGGCCCGGAGGGGAUGCCGGAAUUCCAGGUGUAGGGGUGAAAUCUGUAGAUAUCUGGAAGAACACCGAUGGGGAAGGCAAGCAGGUGGCCAGAGACUGACGCUGAGGCGAGAAGGCGCGGGGAGCGAACAGGGUUAGAUACCCUGGUAGUCCGCUCAGUAAAGGAUGCGAACCGGGUGUCGGGCGGCAGCGCCCAGUACCGGAGCAAACGCGAUGAGUGCGCCGCCUGGGGAGUAUGCCCGCAAGGGUGAAACUCAAAGGAAUUGACGGGG
rnacentral:rRNA from 1 species